GUCGUUGUGUUUUCUGUGUGUUGGACUGCAUCAUCAUGCCCCAUUUUAGCAGACUCCACCCAACACACUUAAAGAAUGUCCAGCCUGCUGUCUGCGUGAGUUGCCUUCAUUCAAGGAAAGUGCCCAUCAUGUCCACAGCCACCCACUCCAUUGGUGGCCCAACUUCUUGCUGCUGAGGUGGUGCAUGUGACUGGUCCUGGGGUCCUUUGAAAGCUGCACAUCCAUUGUUGCGCUGGCAGAGGUCCUCUACAUCUCCACUGUGCUGACCCAAUCUGAACCCUUGGCGCUUUUGACGAAGGGUCCUUGUGCUCCCAAAGUGCCCUGAGUUGAUGCCACCAUGACGUGCUCUAACAAAGCAUCUCUGAGGGAUCGGAUUUGGGCACCACCACUUGUCACCUCCCUUCCCCGGUGGCUGGCUCCUUCCAUGCACGCUGCAUUAUGCCAUCACUCAUGGGUAAUGCUGCAAACUUACUCCAAGGGCCUUUUGUGACUGCAAGCAGUCCCAUCACACUUUUCAAAGAUUGCCGUGUACCACUCAAAACCUUCCAAUGCACUGGACUGAUAUCACUGUCCUCCUCUUGCUUGACUGCCCACUCUGCAGCAUUUACCGCCUCUAAAGUGCAGCAUGAUUACCCGCCAGAAGUCUCACCUCCACACAGCUCCAUCUCCCUAGUGUCCUGCUGAUCACAGUAGCCGCAGUCAUCCAUAGCAUACGGUCUCCAAGAAAGGGUAUUGGCAUUGACAUAUUGAGACCUGGCCCAAUGAACCACGCUGACGUUGAAAGACUGCAGCUCCUCCAUCCACCGUGCUACCUGUCCUUCCGGUUCCUUGAAAGACAUCAACAAUUGUAGUGGCGCGUGGUCGAUCCUAAUUGUGAAAGUCACGUCACAAGGUAGGAUCUGAAAUACCGUGUGGCCAACACAACUGCCAAGAGUUUAUGUCAAGUCACGCAGUAGCGCCUCUCACAGUUUACUACUACUACUAGUUUACAACUUUAGCCCCAAAGCUGAGCUUGUUCUUCUACUUGUAAAGUAAGCUUAGAAAUGUUCUUCACUGUUUUGAGUGCCAAAAUAUACUAUGAUUGAUAGUAGAAGAGCUGUAUCAAUUAAUGCUCCUUUACAAAGAUUAUAUUUCUUCAGACUGCCAAAGCAUUACUGUUUAGCAUUAAUUCUCUCAGUGGUCAUAACAUAUGGAAGUAAAUAUGUACCACCAGGAUUUUAAUUAAAAAUGCCACUGAAAAUUUUGUGUUGUAAAAUUCACAGUUAAUUCAAAAUGAUCACAUUUUCAAUAGCUGUAUUUCACUUUAACUUUUUGUAACCCGGUUAAAAAUUGGUACAGGUAAAAGUUCAGUAUGAGAGAGUAGCAAUGAGGUUAUAGGUUUUCUUUAUGCAACGUGGUGGAAUAUCUGUCAAACUGAGAGAGAGAGAGAGAAAGCUGGACGGUGUGAAAAAAGGACCAGGACUGUGAGGACACUGGAGAGAGGAAAAACCACCUUCACCUUUCUUCACUCCUACCUGAGGAAGCACCACAGCGACAUUGGAGUUUGAAUUUCGUUUGCUUUGCCGACUAGAUUCAUUUUUG